ACUCAGUGAAAUUGAACUCGCUGUGAAGAUGCAGUGUACCCGCGGCAAGACGGAAAGACCCCGUGAACCUUUACUAUAGCUUGACACUGAACAUUGAGCCUUGAUGUGUAGGAUAGGUGGGAGGCUUUGAAGUGUGGACGCCAGUCUGCAUGGAGCCGGCCUUGAAAUACCACCCUUUAAUGUUUGAUGUUCUAACGUGGACCCGUGAUCCGGGUUGCGGACAGUGUCUGGUGGGUAGUUUGACUGGGGCGGUCUCCUCCUAAAGAGUAACGGAGGAGCACGAAGGUUGGCUAAUCCUGGUCGGACAUCAGGAGGUUAGUGCAAUGGCAUAAGCCAGCUUGACUGCGAGCGUGACGGCGCGAGCAGGUGCGAAAGCAGGUCAUAGUGAUCCGGUGGUUCUGAAUGGAAGGGCCAUCGCUCAACGGAUAAAAGGUACUCCGGGGAUAACAGGCUGAUACCGCCCAAGAGUUCAUAUCGACGGCGGUGUUUGGCACCUCGAUGUCGGCUCAUCACAUCCUGGGGCUGAAGUAGGUCCCAAGGGUAUGGCUGUUCGCCAUUUAAAGUGGUACGCGAGCUGGGUUUAGAACGUCGUGAGACAGUUCGGUCCCUAUCUGCCGUGGGCGCUGGAGAACUGAGGGGGGCUGCUCCUAGUACGAGAGGACCGGAGUGGACGCAUCACUGGUGUUCGGGUUGUCAUGCCAAUGGCACUGCCCGGUAGCUAAAUGCGGAAGAGAUAAGUGCUGAAAGCAUCUAAGCACGAAACUUGCCCCGAGAUGAGUUCUCCCUGACCCUUUAAGGGUCCUGAAGGAACGUUGAAGACGACGACGUUGAUAGGCCGGGUGUGUAAGCGCAGCGAUGCGUUGAGCUAACCGGUACUAAUGAACCGUGAGG
rnacentral:rRNA from 1 species